rnacentral:lncRNA from 1 species
CCACAAAAUGCUUCAUUGUAUUUUAUUUAAUAAUUGAAAAAUAUAACAUUUAAAUGAGGAAAAAAAAUUGUAUACUAACGUAUAUUGUGAAAAGCAUUUAAAACCACCAAUGAUAUCAUAUAAUUACUUAAAAUAAAUAAGAUAUCGUAUAUAAAAAAGGAUUAUAAAAAGAAUUUCGCGUGAUUUGAUAAAAUCACUUAUCAAAAACUAAUACAUACACCUUUACAAUGUUUCUAAGAGAUUCUCUAGAUGCAACUCGAAUGUUCGACAGUUUAUGACGGGUUAAUGUUAUAGCAUCUCCAACAUAUUUCAAAUCUUUUUCUACUUCGGGUUUUAUCAAUCGUGAUAAAUCUGAUGGAUCGUUUAAAGGAUUAGGAACCAUUUCAACUGUCAAACCCAUUGCUUGUGGAAUAGUUAAAAUGUCAGAGAAUAUAAUGCUUGCAUCUAAAUCAAAACGUUUAAUAG